GAAAAAAUGAAUAUUCUUGGUUUAAUAGUUAAUUUAUCUAUUUUUAUUUAUAUUAAUAAUUUUUAGGUGAAAUUUAUAAUUAUUAUAUAAUUAAUUUUAUUAAUGAAGCUAUGAAAUUUAUAUAAAAAACGAGGAUUAGAUACCCUUUUAUUAUAAAUGUAACAAUUAACCUGGGUAGUAUUAGUUAUGUUCUUGAAACUCAAAGGAUUUGGCGGUAUUUUAGUCCUUUCAGAGGAAUCUGUUCCGUUAUCGACAACCCACGAAUAGAAGUACUUGAUUUUGUUUAUACAGUUUGUAUACCUCCGUCAUAAGAAUAUCUUUUCAGAGUGAAUUUUCUUUAUAUAAUAAAUAUAAUAUGUCAGGUCAAGGUGCAAUUUAUAAUUAAGUGGAAAUGGAUUACAAUAAAGUUAUUUAUACGGAUUAAAUUAUUUAAUUUUUUAUGAAGGUGGAUUUGAUAGUAAUGUUAUUAUUUUAUUAAUUUGAUUAGGGCUCUAAAAUAUGCACACAUCGCCCGUCGCUCUCUUUACUAAAAUGAGAUAAGUCGUAACAUAGUAGAUGUAUCGGAAGAUGAUCUAGAAAGUAA
rnacentral:rRNA from 1 species